AAAAAAAACACACAAACCGAGACAAAUAGCGUGAUAGGGCAGAAUUCGGCUCCGGCAGUUCUGUCCGGCCCCUGGCGGCUCAACUAUGUACAAACACGCGGCGUUCGCAAAUCUGAAGUAACAGAAAUUAAAAAUAAAAACGCAUAAGAAAACAACAACAACAACAACCACUUGCUUCCAUCAGCUGGCUCUGUUCGCGGUACACAUCGCGCACGGUGAUAAUGCGGAGCCGGCACACAGCACCAGGUCGGCGAUACCCUCUGAACUCCCUCCUGAACGGAGCAGGCAAAGCAGUAGCGCUUGCCGUACGAGUGUGCGUGGCCAAAGGUGACUUACAUUUGUAUCCAGGGCUACUGUCCCAUCCGUCUACUGCCUAGCUUCGCUAACAACGCUUCGUUCGCCUUCCGAAUAGCAUCGUACAUUGCACAUGAAUACCUGUUAGUUUCUAAUUAUGUAUUGCACCGCGCCAUUCUCUUAUAUUGCACAUAUAGGAAGAGAGAGAGCAAGAGAGACAGAGUGUGUAAGUUUAAAAAAAAAAACAAAAGUAUUUCUAAAAAAUAAAUAGUAAGUCUUUUUCUUUCCUCGUUUCAUUAGUGCUGCAGAGACGCAAAAAAGUAAACCUUAACGCUAGAGAGCUCACUUUGUCUUUGGACAGUGAUGCUGCUGCCCAGAAUGGAAUGCAUUACCGUCGCCAUGAGAGACACAACACAGUGCUCUGCACGAUGGUGCUGCUUUCGGUGCAGUGUGGAAAUAAAGUACCAACCCCCC